AAAAAGUCGUAACAAGGUUUCCGUAGGUAGCAGUUUUUGCCUACUAAAGCAGCUCAACAGCCGCUAGUCUCCCCUGGAGGCGACACGCUCAGCAUGCGGAAAAACCCUGAAUUCAGGGAAACCCGCAGCCCACCGCGCUUACCCGGCGGUGGGUUCAGAGACUCGAUGAGUGUGGGUGCUAAGCGAAAGCUCAGCGCUUGAGAUAGAGCCCGUCCCCGCUGGAAACUGCGGGGGAUGAACGGAACCUGCGGAAGGAUCAUUA
rnacentral:rRNA from 1 species